GAUGAAGAACGCAGCGAAAUGCGAUAAGUAAUGUGAAUUGCAGAAUUCAGUGAAUCAUCGAAUCUUUGAACGCACAUUGCGCCCCCUGGUAUUCCGGGGGGCAUGCCUGUCCGAGCGUCAUUACAACCCUCAAGCUCAGCUUGGUAUUGGGCCCCGCCGACCCGGCGGGCCCUAAAGUCAGUGGCGGUGCCGUCCGGCUCCGAGCGUAGUAAUUCUUCUCGCUCUGGAGGUCCGGUCGUGUGCUCGCCAGCAACCCCCAAUUUUUUUCAGGUUGAUCUCGGAUCAGGUAGGGAUACCCGCUGAACUUAAGCAUAUCAAUAAGCGGAGGA
rnacentral:misc_RNA from 1 species